rnacentral:snRNA from 1 species
CGUUAUCCGAUGAACGCCGUAUUAAAUGGGUUUUUGGAAAUAGGAGAUGGAAUAGGAGCUUGCUCCGUCCACUCCACGCAUCGACCUGGUAUUGCAGUACUUCUAAGGACGGUGC